UCCCUCUCAGGACGGCACCUGGAGAGUUUCCAGUACUCUACCAGUCUCAGCGAUGGGAGGAAGAGUGAAGCAGAGGUAUUCCCAUUGCACUCCUAGCUUGGCCAGUGGCUAGCAAGUGGAAGACAAUCUGCUACAAGU